UACGUAGGGUGCAAGCGUUAAUCGGAAUUGCUGGGCGUAAAGCGUGCGCAGGCGGUUCCGCAAGUCAGAUGUGAAAUCCCCGGGCUCAACCUGGGAACUGCAUUUGAAACUACGGGGCUAGAGUGUGUCAGAGGGGGGUGGAAUUCCACGUGUAGCAGUGAAAUGCGUAGAUAUGCGGAGGAACACCGAUGGCGAAGGCAAUCCCCUGGGCCUGCACUGACGCUCAUGCACGAAAGCGUGGGGAGCAAACAGG
rnacentral:rRNA from 1 species